UACGUAGGGUGCAAGCGUUGUCCGGAAUUAUUGGGCGUAAAGAGCUCGUAGGCGGUCUGUCGCGUCGGCUGUGAAAACCCGGGGCUCAACCCCGGGCCUGCAGUCGAUACGGGCAGACUAGAGUGCGGUAGGGGAGACUGGAAUUCCUGGUGUAGCGGUGAAAUGCAUAGAUAUCAGGAGGAACACCGGUGGCGAAGGCGGUGAUCUGGGCCAGUACUGACGCUGAGGAGCGAAAGCGUGGGGAGCGAACAGG
rnacentral:rRNA from 1 species